rnacentral:rRNA from 1 species
UACGAAGGGGGCUAGCGUUGUUCGGAAUUACUGGGCGUAAAGGGCGCGUAGGCGGCCACCGCAAGUCAGUUGUGAAAUCUCUGGGCUUAACCCAGAACGGUCAGCUGAUACUGCGGGGCUAGAGUGCAGAAGGGGCAACUGGAAUUCUCGGUGUAGCGGUGAAAUGCGUAGAUAUCGAGAGGAACACCUGCGGCGAAGGCGGGUUGCUGGGCUGACACUGACGCUGACAGCGCGAAAGCUAGGGGAGCGAACGGG